CCUACGGGAGGCAGCAGUGAGGAAUAUUGGUCAAUGGUCGGGAGACUGAACCAGCCAAGCCGCGUGAGGGAUGAAGGUACAGAGUAUCGUAAACCUCUUUUGUCAGGGAACAAAGGCGGGGACGUGUCCCCGGAUGAGUGUACCUGAAGAAAAAGCAUCGGCUAACUCCGUGCCAGCAGCCGCGGUAAUACGGAGGAUGCGAGCGUUAUCCGGAUUUAUUGGGUUUAAAGGGUGCGCAGGCGGUCUGUUAAGUCAGCGGUCAAAGCCCGGGGCUCAACCCCGGCCCGCCGGUGAAACCUGGGAGUCUCGAGUUGGAGAGAAGGAUGCGGAAUGCGCGGUGUAGCGGUGAAAUGCAUAGAUAUCGCGAAGAACCCCGAUUGCGAAGGCAGCAUGCCGGCUCAACACUGACGCUGAGGCACGAAAGCGUGGGUAUCGAACAGGAUUAGAUACCCCAGUAGUC
rnacentral:rRNA from 1 species